UAAAGAGAGAGGGUGCUGGUAUGUUCUGC
rnacentral:piRNA from 1 species